UCUCUGAUAGCUCAGUUGGUAAAGAAUCUGCCUGCAAUGCAGGAGACCCUGGUUCGAUUCCUGGGUCAGGAA
rnacentral:tRNA from 1 species